rnacentral:lncRNA from 1 species
GAUUAGCAAAUGAGAGCAACUCUCACCCCCGAGCCCAUCCUAACGCUCUUAAACCAAAGGGAAAAGGACGUGUUCCACUUUGCUGCCCAUUCUGAGGAGGAAGGCAUUACCUCGAAGCCAGGGAUGUGGUGGACAGCCGGCUGUGGAGGAAACACACACGAUUUCCAUUCGUGCUCCCGGGGACGGCAAACAGCAGAGCCCUCCCCCAAACCCAACACCGGCCCCCAAAUCCCUGGCAGAGGGCAGGGCUCUGCCUGCAGUGGGGAACGCAGCAGGACCCCCACCCAAGGGCUCAACCCUGACUCCUGCAGGUCCUGCACGGGGUGAGGAGGGGGUGGACAUCACCUCCCCCCAGCCCACCAGCAGCUGCAGACCCACGUGGAGGCAGCAAGCAAUAGCACAGCCAACAUCAGCAGCCCUGGGGGGCGCAGCCCCAGUCCCCACAGCAGCCCCAAUCCACGCAGCGGGGCAGGGGUCCAGAUCACCUGCAAUGGCUGCAGAAUGCAGGCAGUGGGGUGCUCCUGCAGGAGCAGCAGCUGGACCUGCAGCCCUGCAGGAGGAGGAUGCAGGAGGAACAGGACAUGCAUCCAUGCAGCAGGAGGAGCACCGGGAACCUGCAUCCUUGCAGGAGGAGCAGCAGGACCUACAUUGGUGCAGGAGGAGCAGUGGGAUUUGCGUUGGUGCAGGAGAAGCAGCAUCUGCAUCCAUGCAACAGGAGCAGCAGUGGGACACGCAUCCCUGCAGGAGGAGCAGAGGGACCUACAGUGGUGCAGGAGGAGCAGCAGGACCUGCAUCCGUG